rnacentral:rRNA from 1 species
UGAGCAAUCUGCCCUUCUCAUCGGAAUAAGCGUUGGAAACGACGUCUAAUGCCGAAUACGACCUCCUUUCGCAUGAUCGGAGGUGGAAAGCUCCGGCGGAGAAGGAUGAGCUCGCGGCCUAUCAGCUAGUUGGUGUGGGUAAUGGCCCACCAAGGCGACGACGGGUAGCCGGCCUGAGAGGGUGACCGGCCACACUGGGACUGAGACACGGCCCACGACCCCCGUACGGGA